UACGAAGGGUGCAAGCGUUAAUCGGAAUUACUGGGCGUAAAGCGUGCGUAGGCGGUGAGUUAAGUCUGCUGUGAAAUCCCCGGGCUCAACCUGGGAAUGGCAGUGGAUACUGGCUCGCUAGAGUGUGAUAGAGGAUGGUGGAAUUCCCGGUGUAGCGGUGAAAUGCGUAGAGAUCGGGAGGAACAUCAGUGGCGAAGGCGGCCAUCUGGAUCAACACUGACGCUGAGGCACGAAAGCGUGGGGAGCAAACAGG
rnacentral:rRNA from 1 species